UACGGAGGAUGCGAGCGUUAUCCGGAUUUAUUGGGUUUAAAGGGUGCGCAGGCGGCACGGCAAGCCGGCGGUCAAAUCGCGGGGCUCAACCCCGCCCAGCCGUCGGAACUGCCGGGCUAGAGUGGGCGAGAAGUGCGCGGAAUGCGUGGUGUAGCGGUGAAAUGCAUAGGUAUCACGCAGAACUCCGAUUGCGAAGGCAGCAUACCGGCGCCCAACUGACGCUGAAGCACGAAAGCGUGGGUAUCGAACAGG
rnacentral:rRNA from 1 species